rnacentral:rRNA from 1 species
UGGGGAAUCUUGGACAAUGGGGGCAACCCUGAUCCAGCCAUGCCGCGUGAGUGAUGAAGGCCUUAGGGUCGUAAAGCUCUUUCGCCUGUGAAGAUAAUGACGGUAGCAGGUAAAGAAACCCCGGCUAACUCCGUGCCAGCAGCCGCGGUAAUACGGAGGGGACUAGCGUUGUUCGGAAUUACUGGGCGUAAAGAGUUCGUAGGCGGACUAGCAAGUUAGAGGUGAAAUCCCAGGGCUCAACCUUGGAACUGCCUUUAAAAGCUGCUAGUCUAGAGACCGGAAGAGGUUAGGGGCAAUACCUAGUGUAGAGGUGAAAUGCGUAGAUAUCAGGAGGAACACCGGUGGCGAAGGCGGCUACCUGGACCGGUUCUGACGCUGAGGCGCG